AAUAGAUACCCGGGUAGUCCACGCCGUAAACGAUGAGUGCUAAGUGUUAGGGGGUUUCCGCCCCUUAGUGCUGCAGCUAACGCAUUAAGCACUCCGCCUGGGGAGUACGGUCGCAAGACUGAAACUCAAAGGAAUUGACGGGGGCCCGCACAAGCGGUGGAGCAUGUGGUUUAAUUCGAAGCAACGCGAAGAACCUUACCAGGUCUUGACAUCCCAUUGACCACUAUGGAGACAUAGUUUUCCCUUCGGGGACAACGGUGACAGGUGGUGCAUGGUUGUCGUCAGCUCGUGUCGUGAGAUGUUGGGUUAAGUCCCGCAACGAGCGCAACCCUUGUUCUUAGUUGCCAUCAUUUAGUUGGGCACUCUAAGGAGACUGCCGGUGACAAACCGGAGGAAGGUGGGGAUGACGUCAAAUCAUCAUGCCCCUUAUGACCUGGGCUACACACGUGCUACAAUGGACGGUACAAACGGUUGCCAACCCGCGAGGGGAGCUAAUCCGAUAAAACCGUUCUCAGUUCGGAUUGUAGGCUGCAACUCGCCUACAUGAAGCC
rnacentral:rRNA from 1 species